rnacentral:rRNA from 1 species
GACGAACGCUGGCGGCGUGCUUAAUACAUGCAAGUCAACGAUUUUUAAGAUAGCAAUAUUUUAAAAAUAGUGGCGCACGGGUGAGUAACACGUAGAUAAUCUGCCUUUAGGUCUGACAUAACUCGUCGAAAGACGGGCUAAUAUCAGAUAAAACAAUAACUUGGCAUCAAGUAAUUGUCAAAGCUUCGGCGCCCAAAGAUGAGUCUGCGGACCAUUAGGUAGUUGGUGGAUUAACAGCCCACCAAGCCAACGAUGGAUAGCUGGUCUGAGAGGAUGAUCAGCCACACUGGAACUGAGACACGGUCCAGACUCCUACGGAGGCAGCAGUAAGGAAUAUUGCUCAAUGGGAGAAAAUCCUGAAGCAGCAACGCCGCGUGAAGGAAGAAGGGU